GACAAGUUAGAGACAGUAUUCACAUCUUUACUGUGGUAGCCUGAACGAUAUCUAGUAGAAUACUUAGAGAACUGAUUAACUGAACCAUACUUGGUAUCCUUUUUGACUGAGAUACAGUUAAACAACAUCAUACAUUUUAAUAAUCAGCUAACAUAAAAGAUGAAUUCACUGAGUUUCAUUGUCUGUCUAUCUCUUGUCAGUUUAAGUGUUGGUCUGACGUUUAUACAACUGGAUAUUAAUAAUAAUAAUAUGUUGACAAAAGCUGAAUUUAAAGGAUUGCUGGUCGUCUAUGAUUUAAACGGUGACAAUGAAAUAACAUUAAUAGAGAUAAUGGCUUCUACCAAUUUAAAUAGCACACAGGCCCAGGCUAUAUUAGAUAAAUAUGAUACUAAUGCUGAUGGUAAAGUACAUGAUAUAGAACUUGAUGAUAUUUUUGCUAAAAGCGAUUUAAACCAGGACAAGGAAUUGUCCUUGGCAGAAUUCAAUGCUAUAGACGCAACGGAUUCCACAAAAGCAGCAGCUUCGGGUGUAGCAGCUGUACCAAUGGUCGUAGCAAUACCAGCCGCCGUAGCAAUACCAAUGCCAGCAACCGUAGCAAUACCAGCAGCCACAGUAGUGGGAGCAACCACAGAAAUGCCAGCAGCCGGAGCAGCACCGGGGACCCGGGCUCCUUAAAUAGACAACGAAGUAAAUGUGACAAUUGCCGGUUAACAUCAGUCCAUCGAGGAAUCAAACUGUUUACUCGUAUUUCAUAUUAUAGAUUCGAUAUCAAUCUUCACAAAAUCAAAGUUUUACGAUAGGUACUCGUCUUAAUUCAGAGGUAGGCAGAAAUAUGUCGACAUUGUGAAAUGAUUAUCACAAAUAAACAUGAAAUAAAUGAUGUUAAACAUUAA